rnacentral:rRNA from 1 species
UACGUAGGGUGCGAGCGUUAAUCGGAAUUACUGGGCGUAAAGCGUGCGCAGGCGGUUCGCCAAGUCAGGUGUGAAAUCCCCGGGCUUAACCUGGGAAUUGCGCUUGAAACUAGCGGGCUUGAGUGUGGCAGAGGGGGGUGGAAUUCCACGUGUAGCAGUGAAAUGCGUAGAUAUGUGGAGGAACACCAAUGGCGAAGGCAGCCCCCUGGGUCAACACUGACGCUCAUGCACGAAAGCGUGGGGAGCAAACAGG